rnacentral:RNase_P_RNA from 1 species
CGAGUAAGUCAGGCAAUCGCUGCUAUAAUUAAUUAUAGGAGAGGAAAGUCCGGGCUCCAUAGGGCAGGGUGCUGGGUAAUACCCAGUGGAGGCGACUCUAAGGAAAGUGCAACAGAAAUAAACCGCCACAUUAUGUGGUAAGGAUGGAAAGGUGAGGUAAGAGCUCACCAGCGCAUAGGUGACUAUGUGGCUAUGUAAACCCCACCUGGUGCAAGAUCGAAGGAGACAUUAUAGGGCGGCCCGUCCUGUCUUCGAGUGUAUCGCUUGAGUUUAUUGGUAACGAUAAACCUAGAUAGAUGAUUGUCUAAUACAGAACUCGGCUUAUAGACUUGGUCGCAUG